rnacentral:rRNA from 1 species
UACGGGGGGGGUAAGCGUUGUUCGGAAUUACUGGGCGUAAAGGGCUCGUAGGCGGCCAACUAAGUCAUACGUGAAAUCCCUCAGCUUAACUGGGGAACUGCGUGUGAUACUGGAUGGCUUGGAUUUGGGAGAGGGAUGCGGAAUUCCAGGUGUAGCGGUGAAAUGCGUAGAUAUCUGGAGGAACACCGGUGGCGAAGGCGGCAUCCUGGACCAAUAUUGACACUGAUGAGCGAAAGCUAGGGGAGCAAACGGG